rnacentral:lncRNA from 1 species
AAACUAAACCUUUACACAAGUUCUCUGAUUCAUUUUUGAUCAUAUACAUUGCAUUCUUCUUGUACAUUUUCGAUUCUUUACUUUUCAUUACAUCAUUUCAUCAUUUCUUUCUUACAUCACAUUUUCUUCAAAAUAAACCUUAUAUUCUUUUUGUUCUUUGCUUUACGCAUUAACAUCUUAAAUUAUCAAAUACAAAAGAUGAUAAAAGGG